GUGCCAGCAGCCGCGGUAAUACGGAGGGUGCAAGCGUUAUCCGGAUUCACUGGGUUUAAAGGGUGCGUAGGCGGACAUGUAAGUCCGUGGUGAAAUCUCCGAGCUUAACUCGGAAACUGCCAUGGAUACUAUAUGUCUUGAAUGUUGUGGAGGUUAGCGGAAUAUGUCAUGUAGCGGUGAAAUGCAUAGAUAUGACAUAGAACACCAAUUGCGAAGGCAGCUGGCUACACAAAUAUUGACGCUGAGGCACGAAAGCGUGGGGAUCAAACAGGAUUAGAAACCCCCGUAGUCC
rnacentral:rRNA from 1 species